GCCGGGCGCAGUGGCGCACACCUGUAAUCCCAGCAGCUCGGGAGGCAGAGGCAGGAGAAUCACGAGUUCAAAGCCAGCCUCAGCAAUUUAGCGAGGUGCUAAGCAACUCAGUGAGACCCUGUCUCUG
rnacentral:sRNA from 1 species